rnacentral:misc_RNA from 1 species
CCUAGAGUUGUAGGCUUUGCCUGCUAUCUCUUACCCAUGUCUUUUGAGUACCUUACGUUUCCUCGGUGGGUUCGCCCACCGAUUGGACAGACUUAAACCCUUUGCAGUUGAAAUCAGCGUCUGAAAAAACUUAAUAGUUA